rnacentral:tRNA from 1 species
CUAGUUAGCUCAGUUGGUGGAGCGCUCCACUGGAAAUGGAGUGGUCCCUAGUUUGAUCCCAGAACCAG